rnacentral:rRNA from 1 species
GGGAUAACCCUGGGAAACUGGGGAUAAUACUGGAUAGGCAAUUUUUCCUGUAAUGGUUUUUUGUUUAAAUGUUUUUUUUUUCGCCUAAGGAUGGGUCUGCGGCCGAUUAGGUAGUUGGUUAGGUAAUGGCUUACCAAGCCGUUGAUCGGUACGGGUUGUGAGAGCAAGAGCCCGGAGAUGGAACCUGAGACAAGGUUCCAGGCCCUACGGGGUGCAGCAGGCGCGAAACCUCCGCAAUGUGAGAAAUCGCGACGGGGGGAUCCCAAGUGCCAUUCUUAACGGGAUGGCUUUUCAUUAGUGUAAAGAGCUUUUGGAAUAAGAGCUGGGCAAGACCGGUGCCAGCCGCCGCGGUAACACCGGCAGCUCUAGUGGUAGCAAUUUUUAUUGGGCCUAAAGCGUCCGUAGCCGGUUUAAUAAGUCUCUGGUGAAAUCCUGCAGCUUAACUGUGGGAAUUGCUGGAGAUACUAUUAGACUUGAGACCGGGAGAGGUUAGAGGUACUCCCAGGGUAGAGGUGAAAUUCUGUAAUCCUGGGAGGACCGCCUGUUGCGAAGGCGUCUAACUGGAACGGUUCUGACGGUGAGGGACGAAAGUUAGGGGCGCGAACCGGAUUAGAUACCCGGGUAGUCCUAACUGUAAACGAUGCGGACUUGGUGUUGGGGUGGCUUUGAGCUGCUCCAGUGCCGAAGGGAAGCUGUUAAGUCCGCCGCCUGGGAAGUACGGUCGCAAGACUGAAACUUAA